ACAUGCAAGUCGAGCGGCAGCGGGAAGAUAGCUUGCUAUCUUUGCCGGCGAGCGGCGGACGGGUGAGUAAUGCCUAGGGAUCUGCCCAGUCGAGGGGGAUAACAGUUGGAAACGACUGCUAAUACCGCAUACGCCCUACGGGGGAAAGGAGGGGACCUUCGGGCCUUCCGCGAUUGGAUGAACCUAGGUGGGAUUAGCUAGUUGGUGAGGUAAUGGCUCACCAAGGCGACGAUCCCUAGCUGUUCUGAGAGGAUGAUCAGCCACACUGGGACUGAGACACGGCCCAGACUCCUACGGGAGGCAGCAGUGGGGAAUAUUGCACAAUGGGGGAAACCCUGAUGCAGCCAUGCCGCGUGUGUGAAGAAGGCCUUCGGGUUGUAAAGCACUUUCAGUAGGGAGGAAAGGUAAUAGCUUAAUACGUUAUUGCUGUGACGUUACCUACAGAAGAAGGACCGGCUAACUCCGUGCCAGCAGCCGCGGUAAUACGGAGGGUCCGAGCGUUAAUCGGAAUUACUGGGCGUAAAGCGUGCGCAGGCGGUUUGUUAAGCGAGAUGUGAAAGCCCCGGGCUCAACCUGGGAAUUGCAUUUCGAACUGGCGAACUAGAGUCUUGUAGAGGGGGGUAGAAUUCCAGGUGUAGCGGUGAAAUGCGUAGAGAUCUGGAGGAAUACCGGUGGCGAAGGCGGCCCCCUGGACAAAGACUGACGCUCAGGCAC
rnacentral:rRNA from 1 species